UACGGGGGGUGCGAGCGUUGUCCGGAAUCACUGGGCGUAAAGGGCGCGUAGGUGGUUUGAUAAGGGUGUGGUGAAAGUCCGGGGCUCAACCCCGGAUCUGCCGUGCCGACUGUCAAACUCGAGGACUGUAGAGGCAGACGGAAUUCCGCGUGUAGCAGUGAAAUGCGUAGAGAUGCGGAGGAACACCGAUGGCGAAGGCAGCCCCCUGGGCCAACACUGACGCUCAGGCACGAAAGCGUGGGGAGCAAACAGG
rnacentral:rRNA from 1 species